ACCCUCUCUGGACCUGAUGUGUAGAAGAUGUGAGGUGUCUAAUGUAGCAGACCCUCUCUGGACCUGAUGUGUAGAAGAUGUGAGGUGUCUAAUGUAACAGACCCUCUCUGGACCUGAUGUGUAGAAGAUGUGAGGUGUCUAAUGUAACAGACCCUCUCUGGACCUGAUGUGUAGAAGAUGUGAGCCACGAACAUUUCUGAAACAGAGGAUCCAACUGCUUUGUGAAAAGCUUCAUGUACAGUUUUGAAGAUGUUUCUUAUGAAAGAAAUGUAAAAUUAACAGCCUGAUUUUUAAUUUGUGAUUUAUUUUGUUUUUAUGAAAAUGUAGAAGUGCAAUUUACAGUCUUUCUU
ensembl:lncRNA